AUUACUUCUUGGCCUUUUGGCUAAGAUCAAGUAUAGUAUCUGUUCUUAAAAAGGAAGGUGUCAAGAACCUUAUGCAUCAGAAGAAUAUUAAUUAACGGCAAUAUUAUUUUUUGAGGGGGAAAAGACUUCUC
rnacentral:snRNA from 1 species